AUUGAACGCUGGCGGCAGGCUUAACACAUGCAAGUCGAACGAGAGGCGGACGGGUGAGUAAUGUCUGGGAACCUGCCUGAUGGAGGGGGAUAACUACUGGAAACGGUAGCUAAUACCGCAUACCAUCAGAUGUGCCCAGGUUGGAUUAGCUAGUAGGUGGGGUAAUGGCUCACCUGGGCCACGAUCCCUAGCUGGUCGGAGAGGAUGACAGUCCACACUGGAACUGAGACACGGUCCAGACUCCUACGGGAGGCAGCAGUAGGGAAUAUUGCACAAUGGGCGAAAGCCUGAUGGAGCCAUGCCGCGUGUGUGAAGAAGGCCUUCGGGUUGUAAAGCACUUUCAGCGAGGAGGCGUUACUCGCAGAAGAAGCACCGGCUAACUCCGUGCCAGCAGCCGCGGUAAUAC
rnacentral:rRNA from 1 species